rnacentral:rRNA from 1 species
UGGGGAAUUUUGCGCAAUGGGGGAAACCCUGACGCAGCAACGCCGCGUGGAGGAUGAAAUCCCUUGGGAUGUAAACUCCUUUCGAUCGGGAAGAUAAUGACGGUACCGAGAGAAGAAGCCCCGGCUAACUUCGUGCCAGCAGCCGCGGUAAUACGAGGGGGGCAAGCGUUGUUCGGAAUUAUUGGGCGUAAAGGGUGCGUAGGCGGUUUGAUAAGUCACAUGUGAAAUCUUCGGGCUCAACCCGAAGUCUGCAUGCGAAACUGUCGGGCUUGAGUAUUGGAGAGGUGAGUGGAAUUUCCGGUGUAGCGGUGAAAUGCGUAGAUAUCGGAAGGAACACCUGUGGCGAAAGCGGCUCACUGGACAAUAACUGACGCUGAUGCACGAAAGCUAGGGGAGCAAAC